rnacentral:rRNA from 1 species
UAGGGAAUCUUCGGCAAUGGGGGCAAACCCUGACCGAGCAACGCCGCGUGAGUGAAGAAGGUUUUCGGAUCGUAAAGCUCUGUUGUAAGAGAAGAACGUGUGUGAGAGUGGAAAGUUCACACAGUGACGGUAACUUACCAGAAAGGGACGGCUAACUACGUACCAG